UGAGCACUGAGGAAUUUUUAUUUUUCUACAUCUCUCCAGGCAAUCAAGGCAUCGUUCUGAGACCUGCACUGGAAUACCGCGUCGAGUCCUUGCUCAUCCCCACGAAUGCUUUGGGUUUCGCUGUGAUGUGUGUGCAGCUGUAUAUGGGCCUGUUGGGGCUGAUACAGCAGUCAUUCUUUCCAAGAAAUCUUUGAUCUGCUGAAAGGUGACUACAAAGCUGAUAGCCAAGCCUCUUUUUUGCAAGGAAGCCCUGUCGUGCAAGGGAAGGUCAGACGGAUGAGAUUCCGGUUGGUCCCUCUAGCUAAGCUGUUCCGCACGGCGAGUGUAUGGGAACGAGGCUGCUUUGAGCUAACUUUGCCAACGCUCUGCUGGUGAGCACGUUUCUGCACUGUUGAGCUGACAGCUGAAAUCUGUCCUCCUCCUGCGUGUGAUGUCAGCUGUGGGCCAGCCUGGCAGUUAUGAAGAGAAGAAGAGGGGACAGCUAGGGGGAAGAGGAAGCAUGUUACGAUUGUGACCAGACCGGCUGAAACUGUGUGUCAUGUGUCACAAACCCCACGGCCUGGCAGAUCUCCGUGGAGGGAGCUUUGCCUACUCGCAUGACAUAUCUAAAGGCUCACGGGAGGCCAGCCCGCACCUGUAAGUCUCCUGGCUGACGUGCGACCAGGCAGCCUCCAGAGAGAGAGAGAGAGGGAAAUGGGCAAGAGCUGAGACUCCAGCAGCAGCAGGAAAUGGGCUGCGUUGCAGACAGCCGGCGCCACCAAGAGUUAUUUCUAAAAUCUGGGUUCGAUUAUGAUGUGCAGUCAGGUACAAACUGACAGACGAACAACUUUCUCCCAUCUCGCGGCUGCUCCUUGUUUACAGUGCUUUCAGACUCCAUGGAAGUUUCUCUAAAGGCACCUGUGUGGUGUCUCAUAAGAGUCCGGGCUGCCAAGCGCCUCCCGUGUCAUUUCUAACAGGUGUGGAAGGUGAAAGGAAGGAACAUGAAGGAAAAGAUAAGACACGAAGAGAAGGAGCCAUGUGGAAAAACCUGGAGUGCAGAAGUGUUCGUCUGAAAGGCUACGAUGACCGUGAUGAGUAAAUUAUUUUAUUCCUACCAUUAUACAAUAAAAUACUAUCCAGUUCUUGUGUUUAUAGGAGAACAAAUGACUGUUUCUCUAUUUCCAUUCAUCUUCUAUUUUUAAAAUAAAAACUUUAUAUAAGCAUAGGAUACUUAAAAGGACCAAGAUAUAUUUUGGCUUGUGUUUACAUAGGGACAUGUUUGAAAACAUAGCAUUUUUUAAUUGGUAAAAUAGGUAAAAACAACUGGAGAGGAAGUUUCAUGCUUGGCAGAGAUGAUAUUGAAAUAUUCAAUGCACCGGGCAUGGUGGCUCACGCCUGUAAUCCAGCACUUUGGGAAG
rnacentral:lncRNA from 1 species